AUGAACCGGAUUAAAGCGCUGGCUCAAUCAGGAUUGACAGUAAUCGAGGUUAUGUCAAUAUGCGUAAUGCGGGGAGUGCAGUCACUUCAAUAUCGAGGGCACCCCCUGUGGUGUUUUAACGGGGAAGAUGAUGCCACCCGUUGUGGGCAUAAGGGUCCGGACAACACUGCUGCUUUAACAAAAAUUCUGUCCGAGUUGUUCAAGGGAGAGGAGGAGGAGUUCAUCCGCAUCAAGCCACGGGAUGGAUUCUCCAUGUACAACCCUCAAAGCUGGGUGAGUUAUAUCUCCUUACUCCCACUCUUCCCGCAUUCUUUGUCGUUGGUACUCACCUUGCCAUUUUGCGGCAGGAACUGCGAAAAGCCAUAA
rnacentral:rRNA from 1 species